UUCAGCUGUGGGAUUUGCCGGCGUGACAGAGCUGAGACUGGAUGUGUGUGUGUUAGGUGUGUAUCUAUAUGUGUGUGUGUGUGAGAGAGAGUACUUCAGCCCACGUUCAUUCACAGACUUGUUCUCUUCCUGUCAAAGCUGUCGUCUCUCUUCAGACAGGUUGAACUCAGAUCUAUUUACAGUUCGACACUUGUGGUGCUGGUACCUCUCGUACCUGAUGUUUGAGGCUCAGACUACUUCUUACAGAAAGGAAAGAAAACACAGAAGAAGAAAAAAACAUCAGCACCAGCUUCUCCAUCAUCGAAAUUUAAAUGCAACCUUAGAUAUUACCACUGAUAAAACUGGUGACUCUGCUCCUCCGACGUUUUCUAAUCAUCACACUCAGAGCUGAUCUUUAUAAAAACCUGCUGGAUUCAUAUUUAUGUUCCUGGAUAAACGGGGCGUCGCCUCUUCUGCAACAAAGAAGAGGCGGAUAUUAAAAAAUGGAAAUGCUGGUGAAACAGAGAUCAAGAUGCUUGAAGCAGUGAAGGGUCUCGAUCCAGUCGAAAACAACCUGGUUGUUUUCAAUGUGAUGCUGGUCAACCAUGAG